CAAUAGCGUAUAUUAAAGUUGUUGCAGUUAAAAGCUCGUAGUCGGAUUUUGGCAUCACGCCGAACUGUCUGCCGAUUGGUAAGUACGGUUUGGCGGGUGCUUCCUUCCGGAGGCUCGUUCCCUUCUUCAUUGAAGGGUUCGUUGGUUCCGGGUCUUUUACUUUGAGAAAUUAGAGUGUUCAAAGCAGGCCUAUGCUCUGAAUAGGUUAGCAUGGAAUAAUAGAAUAGGACUUUGGUUCUAUUUUGUUGGUUUCUAGGACCGAAGUAAUGAUUAAUAGGGACAGUUGGGGCAGUUCGUAUUAACGCGUCAGAGGUGAAAUUCUUAGAUUGCGUUACGGCGAACUACUGCGAAAGCAUUUGCCAAGGAUGUUUUCAUUAAUCAAGAACGAAAGUUAGGGGAUCGAAGACGAUCAGAUACCA
rnacentral:rRNA from 1 species